CCCACUCAGCACACAGCAUAGACAUGAAGACCUCCAUUCACUAUCUGGGGCUCCUGCUACUCUGGCUGGAUGGUGCCAAAUGCGAUAUCCAGGUGACCCAGUCUCCAUCCUCACUCUCUGGAAAUUUAGGAGAAAGUGUUACCAUCAUUUGUCAGGCAAGUCAGGAUAUUAGCACGUACUUAGCUUGGCAUCAACAGAAACCAGGGAAAGCUCCUCAGUCUCUGAUCUACGGUGCAUCCUAUUUACAAAAUGGUGUCCCAACAAGAUUCCGUGGAAGUGGAUCUGGUACACAGCUUUCUCUCACAAUCAGCAGCCUACAGUCUGAAGAUAUCGGAACUUAUUAUUGUCUACAGUAUGAUAAGCUUCCUCCCACAGUGAUAUAA